AUUACCACUUUUACUACUUCUUUCCCAACAGCUGUCAGAGAAGAAGAAAGGACAAGAGGCAGCUGAGAGAGACUGGCUUCAAAAUUAAGGGCCAUGGUAUGCUGAAGGCUGGGGAUGGGAAAAGCUCCUGCAUUUUUGCUGCAGUUUCUAAUAGUUUCCGGGAUACCAGGAAGAUUCUAGUAUUUCCUAACAUCACUAAUUUAUGUCCAGAGAUACUCUGCGUAUUGCAGCUAUUGGUAUCUUAUAAUAAAUAAUGCAAAGAUUACUGAGAAAAUCGGAAUAAGCAUGAAGAUGCAGGGGAGGAGGCAACAAAUGCAAUGAGCCCCCAGAUCUCUGAAGUUCUUUUUCUUCAGAAAAGACUCCUCUCCUUGAAGAUCUGCACCACGCACGGCAACGGGGGCUCCUCUUUCCUCGGCACAGCAGCAACGCUGGUCAGGCUCCCAGCCUUGGGAUGUAGAGACAUCUACACAGGCCGGCGCUAUCACAGGGAGAGGUUGGUGACUUCCUUAUACAACUAUGCUUAUGAGUGAUCUCUAUACUAAAAGCUCCAGAGAUCGGCAAUGCCCGUAAUGAGCGAUGGAAAAGCAAGGCAUGUGAUGCUGUCCAGGAGGCAGGUGUCCAGUGCGGUUGUGGUUCCUCCCUUGGACUGCUGGAAGGUAGGAGAGACGCCCGGAGCCUUCCCUGCCCUCACCUGCGCUGAGCCCUCGGGCGCACCUGGGCUCUGCCCCCAAGGGAACAUCAGCUCUGCGCUGCCGGCAUCCAAUAGGUUCCACCCAACUCACAGCAACAAGAGGAAUCGCAGCCUACGGCGCGGGAAGCCGUCACAAAACCCAGCACAAGCCAGAGGGCCAGUGCCGGGCUGGCACUGCGUGAGUCCCAGCGGGGACAGCCCCACUGGCUUGAAAAGAUCUGCACGACGCUGACCAUUUUUUCAAUUUCAAUUCAGCAAACCUGUCUGGGUUUUGGUUUUCUGUAUGCGCUUCUAAUUUCA